rnacentral:rRNA from 1 species
GUAGGUGGCAAGCGUUGUCCGGAAUUACUGGGCGUAAAGCGCGCGCAGGCGGUCCUUUAAGUCUGAUGUGAAAGCCCACGGCUCAACCGUGGAGGGUCAUUGGAAACUGGGGGACUUGAGUACAGAAGAGGAAAGCGGAAUUCCAAGUGUAGCGGUGAAAUGCGUAGAGAUUUGGAGGAACACCAGUGGCGAAGGCGGCUUUCUGGUCUGUAACUGACGCUGAGGCGCGAAAGCGUGGGGAGCAAACAGGAUUAGAUACCCUGGUAGUCCACGCCGUAAACGAUGAGUGCUAAGUGUUAGGGGGUUUCCCGCCCCCUUAGUGCUGCAGCUAACGCAUUAAGCACUCCGCCUGGGGAGUACGGCCGCAAGGCUG